GUCUGAAUACGCACGUUCACGCUGCGUGUCUGAGAAGUCAGGGAUAUAUCAGACACGUGAUGUCUGAUAUAUGCACGUUUACCUUGCGUGGUUGACUUUAUAAAAGGUCACAACCUCCAACUCUAGCUCGCACCACGAGCUGGACGCUUCCCUCGACGUGUGCUCUUCAGAGUCCAGGAUAAGUCCUUAAGUACAUCUUGGCGAACCCUUAGGUUACCUCGAGCUAAGGAGGUAGGAUCUUACGAUGGCAGCUCCGGCUUUGGGAAUGUCCACGAGGUAAUUAGGGUUAGGCGUAGCUCAGCUCGCUAAUCAGGCCGUGGGAAAAUCAGGGCGUACAAGUACUAAGAUAAUUUAGUCAAGUCCAGUACAGUCCACUCCUUACUAAUAAUCCAGUCCAGUCCUGCAUUCCAAGUGAGCCCUCAAAACCCAGCCGUCUCCCUCUUUCUUUCUUUCUUUCUUUUUUUUUUCUUUCUUUCUCUUCUCUCUUCUCCUAAUACCUAUUUUUCUUUCUCUAAUCUGCCUCCCUCACUCACCAUCUAGGUCGAAGGCAACACACCGCCUGGGUCGAAGGCGGCGCUCCGCCUCACUCUCAUCGCCUUGGUCAAUGCCGCCUCUCUCUCUCCAUCUGGGACUUGCAUUUUCUAGCUUUCUUUAAAGCUACAAGAAGAAGUUUGAAUCCUACUAAUUUUUGGACUAGCAGUACUUUGAUUACCUUUUCUACAUUGAUUUUGAGGCAUCUAUGGCAGAACCACGUGCACAGAGUGCUUUAGAGCAGUUGCAGGAACUUGCAACUUAUCUUCGGGUACUUGGUUGCUACGCCAUGGAUACAACUCAAUAACCAACUAUAUCUGCAUUUCUCCUCCAUGUGCUUAACCUUAUCACGUGGGAGGAAGAGAAUAUGGCCAAUCAUUUCAUGAAGUGGUCUCUGUUCUCAUACAAGAAAAAGGAUGCCUAGUGUCCACAAUUUCAAAUCACUCCUCAUGCCAUUCGAGUCUU